UACGAAGGGGGCUAGCGUUGUUCGGAAUUACUGGGCGUAAAGGGCGCGUAGGCGGUACUUCAAGUCAGGCGUGAAAGCCCCGGGCUCAACCUGGGAACCGCGCUUGAGACUGGAGAACUAGAGUUCGGGAGAGGAUGGUGGAAUUCCCAGUGUAGAGGUGAAAUUCGUAGAUAUUGGGAAGAACACCGAUGGCGAAGGCAGCCAUCUGGACCGACACUGACGCUGAGGCGCGAAGGUCAGGGGAGCAAUCGGG
rnacentral:rRNA from 1 species